rnacentral:tRNA from 2 species
GCGGACGUAGCGCAGUCGGUAGCGCGGCACCUUGCCAAGGUGCAGGUCGCGGGUUCGAUCCCCGCCGUCCGCU